GUAUAUAUAUACGUAGUUAAGCGUACACGUUUUAUCAAGGGUGAAUGCGACACACGAAGCACACCAGGUCUAAAGUGGAAUAGUAAAAGCGAGCAUUACGCCGUGGACACGUGGUAAUUUACAACUGGUGAUCCUCUCUUCGUCGUCCACUCAACGUAUUAGAGAAACCGUACGUUGUUCUCUUGCAUUUCUUUGACUCCUUGCAACUAAUGAUCAUAACACGCUGCAUGACGGAUAGAAGAGAAAGAAAGAAAGAGAGAGAGAGAGAGAGAGAGAAGAAGAAAUACAAAAAAAAA